UUAACUUUCGUCUUCCUUUAACAGUGAAUUGGAACAAAGCACACUUUCUCUGUCUCUUUCUCUCACACGCACGCACGCACACACACACAAACUGUUGGCAAGCAAAACAGUCACUAUGAUCUCCUUUCACAUCACCAAAGCAAAACCAACAAAGAUGAUGCAUUACGAAAUGCAUACAUGCUGUCAUUCUAGGACCUAAGGGCGAAUAAAAAAUAACGAGACAUAAGAUUCGUACGGAUUUACAGAUGAAACGUAGCCUAAUGCAGCAACGUUGCUGCCAUGUCCUUAUUUGUAGCAAAACAUUCAUUGAAUACAUUUAGCAACCUUAGGCCGCCCAUAGGCAACAUGUGUGCCACGAAUUGCGAAGAGGAAUUAGGCAGGCGGAUUAAGAAAAGACAUACUAAAUUUCACUCUCAACACCAGCAUCAUUUUGCAUCACUUGGCACCACAGUUUCUCGAGGCGGUCUUCAUGAUAAACUCUUGGCAUCUCAUAGGAUAAGCUCGAAAAAUAACGGACACGGCUGACGACCAACAGAGAGGCGGAUCUGAACCAGAAUCAUGUUACAUUCAUCAAUCGCAGGCAAGGAAGGGAGGGACUUUCACCUCAGCCCCUGAUUGAAUCAGUCCUGUUUCAAUUGGUUACAACAAUAUGACACAUUAGAACAAGUAAUAGCGGAUAUUUGGUCUAAAACUGUGGGUAACCAUACCGAAUGUGAGGCUGAUCAACCUUCUAUGUGAAACAUUCAAACUAAAUGAACCCGGGUGGAAAUCGACGCACAAAUGUCAACUCUCUUCAUCUGGAACAUGAAAUAUAGGAGAGAAAUGAGAUGGCCAUUUCCACCCAGUAAUUAGAAUAAAUAUGAUGUAAGACACAACCUUUCCUCUAUGAAGGUGAAGGAUAAAAAAGACAGAGAUGAGCUUGUCAUUACCCCUCUCCCCCAAACUCCUGAGAAGGUUUUUUUGUGUGUGUGUGUGCAUCUGAGUGGCAUAAUCAAUCCGUGGAACUAUCUGGGAACACACCUGCUCUCUCUCCCCUCUAGUGCAGGCUGCCCUUUUGACAGUUCCAUUUAUAAGCUGAGAUAGGUCUCCGGAUGACCAGGUGCUAUUUUGUACAGCAGGUAAACAUCCUGUCCCUCUUAUCGCCAUCAAGCAACAAGGAACCGCUGGAACCCAGCCUCACGCUAACAGGAUUUACUUGAAAGGACCGGUGAGCGGCUGAGAGGGAAGGGGCCACCGGAACACCUUUUGAUUUUUUGAUUAAGGUUGGAAAUUGGCCGGUCUCCACAAUGGCUCCACUGCUGCCGUGACAACCGGAAAGACCGGAGAGGGCUAACACUGUCCAGCCUCCUCCAAGCUCCCCGGCACCAGAAAUAACCAUGGCAGCAGGACACGGUGAUUAUAAAUCCCAACUCUCUCGGCACAGCGCUUGCGGCAGGUUGGCAGUGGGGGCGCGGGCAGGAAAAGGUGCUGAGCAGGUGCCUCGAGUGCCAGCUAUGCUGCUUCAGCCACUUUGUGCCCAGUCCUAAACCUCCCUGCUCAUAAGACAUUUCACACAUCCUGAGUCAGAAAUCCAACAGCCCACGGUGAUUAAAAGCAACCAGCAGCUACACAGAGCAAUUCACACACCUGACAAUAAACAUCUUGUUUUUCAAAUACUGUUAGAGCCCAGGUUGAAUUUAGCAGUAAGAAAUUCAGAACAGCAUUCAUGAUAGUGUUCAUGUUAAAAAGAAACAUUGGCCUGGAUUGACUCAACAUUCAUCCUUAACUUGGAUUUACUGAUAAAUCCAAGUGAUAAGGCAGACAGUAAUCGCUAAUGGCUAUUGGUAGAUGAAAUAUGUAAACCACCAAAUUUGACUUGCCUCAAAAUGACAAAAAGCUAGCAUGUUAGCAAGAAAAAGCGGUGUAUUUCAUACACUAAAGGAAAAAAAAUGCUUACUUGCCUUGGGAAUGUAUUCAUUACUUUUCAAGGGCAGUGGAAUAUUUAAAUACUGUCCAUGACAGACCUGUGACUUUCUAUGAUGUGACAACUUUAAAAUGUCAAGGACCACAGAACCGCUGCCUUUCACUGUAAUGCACAUGGGGGAUGAUAAUGGAAGACAGCGUGUCCCGUGAACCCAGGUCUGACCAUUUGUGGGCAGGACGUUCCUCAGACUGCUUGUUUGCCUACCUGAUACAAAAGAUUAAAAGGGUAGUUUCUACAAAAGAAGAGAAUGUUCACAAACAGCCAGUGAGGAGUGAGAGGAGGUUACCAGCUUAUUAGUUAGUGCGGGCUUUAGCUAAGAGCAGGUGUGGGGGGAGAGUGGGAGAGGGUACAGCAGGAAAUAUCCAAAACAGGAAAUACUAGCAACAGUUACUGUAGAUCAAAAUGGCAAGAGGUCGCAAAUAACGUAAAAUAAAGUUCAACGCCACAAAUAUACCAAAUCACACCGUACUAAGUGGAAAUCACUGUUGCUGACCAAAAAUUUUCCUUACUUAUGGCCUUGAUUUAAAUUCAGUGUAUUGGUGCCUGCUGCUGUUACUAUGGUUACCUCAAAAUGCCCUGCUGCAUGAAUGGGGCCAAAUAAAAGGGAACAGAUGGUGGAAACACAAACCUUCUGGGAGUGUAAGGAGGAGGCAGAAGCACAAGCAUGUUUCAGUAAUGGAAAAGCCACAGCCAACACUGGUCUGCCCAUGCCUACACCUACACAGACUGAGGGGGUUGUUAGCUGACUGCCAAUCACCACCUUAGAGGCGGUAGCCCUCUCCCACUCAUUGGCUCUCAGCUGCUGUCCUCUUUCUCUCACUGGUUCUUGAUAUAAAUCUGAUUGCACUCAUUGGUUCUUUGCUUGUGCCUUUUCCCACACACUGGCUCUUAGCUAAAGCCCUCGCUCACUCAUCAGCACUCUGCUGGUAACCUCUCACUCCUCACUGACUGUUGGUGGACAUUCUGUCACUCACUGGCUAUUGGCUUGUACAAUUUCCCACUCAUCACAAUAUCUUACUGUCUCUGUGUACCAUAUAUAUAUAUAUAUAUAUAUAUAUAUAUAGCACUGCUGUGUUUGCUGUUUGCGUUGACAACCAAAUUUCCCCCAGGGUAUAAAUAAAGUAUUUAUCUAUCUAUCCAUCUAUCAUUGGCUCUCAAGUGAGUCUAAUCCACAGGCUCUCCCUGCAACAGGGAGCUAAUGCUCUUUCAGUGGCCAAGAGCAUCUCAUAUUUCAACCAAGCUUUAUAGUCUAGUGAGGACAGAAAAAUAAGCCACGGAUACCAUCUUUAA